UCUCAGUUCGGAUUGAAGUCUGCAACCCGACUUCAUGAAGCUGGAUUCGCUAGUAAUCGCGCAUCAGCCACGGCGCGGUGAAUACGUUCCCGGGCCUUGUACACACCGCCCGUCAAGCCAUGGGAGCCGGGGGUACCUGAAGUGCGUAACCGCAAGGAGCGCCCUAGGGUAAAACUGGUGACUGGGGCUAAGUCGUAACAAGGUACC
rnacentral:rRNA from 1 species